AAGCUCGUAGUUGAAUUUCGGGGUUCUACCGUUGGUCGGGCUAACCAGUCUGUACUAGCGUGUAGAAUUCUUACCUUCUGGGGAACCAUCAUGUUAUUAAUUUAGCGUGGUAGGAAACCAGGACCUUUACCUUGAAAAAAUUAGAGUGUUCAAAGCAGGUUUACGUCUGAAUACAUUAGCAUGGAAUAAUAAAAUAGGACGGUGGUCCUGUUUUGUUGGUUUCUGAAUCACCGUAAUGAUUAAUAGGGAUAGUUGGG
rnacentral:rRNA from 1 species